rnacentral:rRNA from 1 species
GGUACUAGGUUUUUAAUGUGGUAUCUAGCCUGCCCAGUGAUUUUUAACGGCCGCGGUAUUUUGACUGUGCAAAGGUAGCAUAAUCAAUUGUCUUUUAAUUGUAGACUAGAAUGAAGGGUUGAACUUAGCAAAGCUGUCUUAAUAUUUUAUGAACUUACACACUAAGUAAAAAUGCUUGGGUGUGUCAAUGGGACGAGAAGACCCUAUUAAGCUUUAUAUAGCUUGAAUUUUUAACUGCGUCUGAUGAAGUUUAUAGUAUAUUUUGCUGGGGCGGCAAUUUAUUAUAAAACGUAAAUAAUAUAAAGCAUUUAGAUCCAUAGGUUAUGAUUAUUAGAGUAAGUUACUGUAGGGAUAACAGCGUAAUAUGCUCUGAGAGUUCUUAUUGAUGGGUAUGUUUGCGACCUCGAUGUUGAUUUAAAAUUCCUUUGUAGAGCAAAUUAUUCACAAGGUGGUUUGUUCAACCAUUAAAUUUUUAUA